rnacentral:rRNA from 1 species
UACGAAGGGGCUAGCGUUGUUCGGAAUCACUGGGCGUAAAGGGCGCGUAGGCGGCUUUAUAAGUCGGGGUGAAGCCUGUGGCUCAACCACAGAAUUGCCUUCGAUACUGUAUGGCUCGAGACCGGAAGAGGUAAGUGGAACUGCGAGUGUAGAGGUGAAAUUCGUAGAUAUUCGCAAGAACACCAGUGGCGAAGGCGGCUUACUGGUCCGGAUCUGACGCUGAGGCGCGAAAGCGUGGGAGCAAACAGG